rnacentral:ncRNA from 1 species
UUAUAUGUGAAGAAAAGAAAUAGUAUCAUAAGGUAAGCUUUCAGAGAGAAGUCUUCUUAGGCUGGAAAAGACUUUAGGUAUAACUUGUGAGAAUGCAUCUUUGAGCACUGUGCUGAAGAAAUGGUUUUUAGUAGGAUACAGCGUGUACGCGCGUUACAGCGUUGAGGUAUAUUUGUACCAAUAACGAGAUGUUAUAUGCUUUGGUAUAUAAUAAUUAGAGUGGAACCGUGGAAUGGAACUUCUGCCUCUAAA